GCCCGGGUGGCGGAAUAGGCAGACGCACGGGACUUAAAAUCCCGCGAGGCUCAAACCUCGUGCCGGUUCGACCCCGGCCUCGGGCA
rnacentral:tRNA from 1 species